UUCUCACACAUCUCCAUCUCCGCUCGCCCCUCUCUUUUUGUAUCCAGGCUUUAGCGAGCACCAUGGCUUCCCCGGCGAGCCUGUCACCGGCAGGGCCCCAUCUGCUCCUCUUUUUCAUCCCUCUUCGACGAGAUUUCUCUUUUAGGUUGCUUAGCUCGUCGGCCCUUUCCAUCCCCGCUCCAACGACGACCCACUAUCCCCACAGAUACUAGAGAUGGACCGACGGCGGCGGACGGAGGAGAAUGACGCCGGGAGAGCUGCAGCCGGCCACGCGGGAGCUGCAACCGGCGGACAGAGGAGCUACAACGGGCAGGCGACGGGCGGUGACCACGGCCAACCAAGGCAACUGGAAUCAACCUCCAAUUUUGCUACUACUGGUGUUUCGGUUUGCUACUCUGGCGUUUUGGUUUGCUACUACCAGCGCCUAAUUUUACAUUUUUGCUAUAAUCGUUUAUUUUCUUGCUGGAACCAGCACCAUUUUUUGUUACUAUGAGUGUUUUUAGUUCGCUUGAACCAGCGUCCAUCUUUUGAAAUUUUUGCUCCCACUAGCGUUUUGGUUUGCUGGAACGAGCUUUAUUUUUCGCUACCACCGGAGUUUUUGAAUUGCUGGAACAGCGUUCAAUUUUGACAAUUUGUUCUACCACCAUUUUUUUAUUUGAUGGAACCAACAUCAGUUUUUGCUGCCACCGUUGUUUGGAUGCGAACCAGGGCGUCAUCGCCACGGAUUCUGAAGGUGGGCGAGGAGGGAGGGAUGGGCAGUAGCGGAGAAGGGCGAGCGCCGGCGGUGAGUCGACGGCGAUGGGAUGUGACGUGCAUGCGCAAUUCAGAGGAGGGGGAGGGGCCCGCCAUGGCCCCCUUGUUUUCUUUCUUAGAUUCACGUGCGGUGCAAGAAAUACGGAGAGGAACGGGCCCCAUCUAACGACUAUGCGGGAGUCAAUCAGACGGCUAGCGCAUGACCGGCCCAAACUUGGGACGGUGCACCGGCGCCUAGCACUCGCCUUCAAUCAAGCAGCCAUGGAUAAUGGAUAGUUGGGAGAUUUUGACGCACUUAAUUUUCACACGACUCCUUUCAGCCCCACAAGAGAAGUUGUCAUUCUUAAUAUUAAAACGGUAUCCCAAGGAAAAAUGAUGCCACCACCACCACCACUAUUUCGAUUGUGCAAGUCAAGGUGCGCCAGCAGCCUUGCAACUGGCAAGCUGUUCGGCAUCUACUUCCAGCCGAGUUUUCGUCAUGCGGUGAUCGUCCCAUGCAAUGUGAGGUUGAAAUUCAACAAGCUGACAGGAGACACUGUGACAUUUGAGGCUCCUCGGGGGCCGUACACUAUGGAGGUCAAGAAAGGACGCAAUAUGUCGUAGAUUGGAGGAGAUGGUUGGGCCCGUUUCGUCGCUCGCAUGCGUCUUACUGGGGGUGAGUUGAUCAGCUUCUCCUUCAGAGCAGAAGGACCCAAGCUGGCUAUCAUUUAUCUCAACCUAGUGGAAGAUGAUGAAGAUGAUCAAGAUAAUGAGGACCCACUCGAUGAAGAUGAUGAGGAUCCACUUCAUGAAGCCAUCGUAGCUCAAAGAACAAGGCUGAGCGAGGAGGAGGUGUCCAACCUGUGGGACAUAAUUCCGCCACGUGCUGACUUUGUCGGGGUGCCAUUCGUGACCCGCCUGACAAAUACCAUGGUUGAUCGACAUGAUAUGAAAUUGGCAAAGAGCAUAUCUGUGAGUUAUGGUAUCGAGCCUGAUGAAGAAGGCUCAGCUGGACUACGCAUUACUGCAAGGGGCUUCGUCACAACCUGUACUUACCGCGUGGACACGGAUGGUCGCACACACUUAAACUCGGUUGGGUGAAAGAAAUUCCUCGAUGGCAAGAAUCUUCGUGCUGGACAGGCCAUCCUAAUUACUAUCAGGAACACCAACCGCCCAGACUUGAGGAUGAUGAUUGUCUUCGAUAUCAUCUAGAACUAUAUAUGUGUAAUUUGGAACUACAUAUGAUGGUUAUCUAGUAUGAUGGUUAUCUAGUAUGAUGGUUAUCUAGUAUGAUGAUGAUUGUCUUCGAUAUCAUCUAGAACUACAUAUGUGUAAUUUGGAACUACAUAUAGUACUCCCUUCGUUCCAAAUUACUCAUCGUGGUUUGAACUAAAACCACGACGAGUAAUUUGGAACGAAGGGAGCACUACCCAGUAAUGGUUUAUGAAUUUGAUA